UACGUAGGGGGCGAGCGUUGUCCGGAGUUACUGGGCGUAAAGGGCGUGCAGGCGGUGCAGUAAGUUUAGAGUGACAGUUUCCGGCUCAACUGGGGAAGGCCUCUGAAAACUGCUGGACUUGAGGGCCAGAGAGGGACAUAGAAUUCCGGGUGGAGUGGUGAAAUGCGUAGAUAUCCGGAGGAAUACCAAAGGCGAAGGCAGUGUCCUGGCGGGCAUCUGACGCUGAGGCGCGAAAGCUAGGGGAGCGAACAGG
rnacentral:rRNA from 1 species